ACAUCAACACGAUCAACAGAAUGCGAACCACUACACACAUCAAAAGCAAUCAAUAUGUACACAAUAACCAACUCUGCUUCGGGUCGAGAACCGGAUCAAGCCAUGGAUCUUUUGAAUACCGAAGGUGCCGAUGAACAAUUGGAAUUGUACUGGAGAAGAUGGAGAUCAGGACAAAAUUCAGCACAGGUGUGAAGGAAUUCGACGAAGUGAACAGAUACAUCCUUAGAAUAGAGGACACAGAAGAAACUAAAGGUAUCAUGGACGAAACCCCAGACAAGGGCUCCGAGGAAUCAGAGCAGUUGGAGGUGGGAAAUGAAGGUGAGAUGAGGGAGAAUACGUAGAGUUCUUACCUAGCGCCAUAAGUUAGUUCAAGAGCACGGGCGCAUCCUGAUGCUAGGAAGCGGAAGAAAGAAAGAACUCGCGGAGUUGCGAGGAAAUCGUAAGGGGCUCACGAGCUUCCGGAGGAUCUGACACCAAACGAGCAAGUCAACAAAAGCGGAAUGCCAAUGGCCGCCUACAUCGCACUAAACUGUCAAAAAGCCAAAACCAAAGCCCGAUGAUGAGUCUACUGGUACUGUAGUUCAGACGAGGGGCAUAAUCAAUUGCCACGAGAUCACACCAUGUUCUUCCAUGACAUGUGACAAUCACAACCCGGGUCCGGGUCUGCUGACGAGGAUGACGACAACAACGACGAGGGAGGGUGAUGGUGGUUUUAUGUGGUCU
rnacentral:misc_RNA from 1 species